rnacentral:misc_RNA from 1 species
UCAUCACCAAAGGAUGCAGUACUAGAAC